GCGACUGUGUGUUUUUCAAAGGGGAAGGAGGCAAGUUAGGUGAUCUUACUGGAACUAUGUCGUAUCUGACUUUUAGCGGUUUUAAUGUGUGUUUUGUUGAUGACGUUACUCACUGGUGACUGAGAAUUGUUCAUUGUCACGAUAUUAAUCCUUAAAAGUAAUCGAGAGUGAAAAAGAAAAUGUCUGAACGAGAACAGUAAACUGUGAUAGACUUCCGCUGUUGUAGGGGUUUUUGUGAUAUUCGCGAAGUAGCCUAGGAGGAAACUUUCUUUACAGCUCUUCUGAGCAGGGUGGGGUAAGGGAGAGCAAGGAGAACUAGACAGGAUGUGUCACAGAUUGACAUAGCUGAUAGUCAUUUGGUGUUUAAAUACUUGCGCAAUAAAGUUAUUUUCGUAAUCAAAGAUGAAAAACUAACAAAAAAUACCAAGUAAUCAAGUAAGUAACAUACAGGCAACUUUUGGAAUCCUUUCUCUUAUACUAUUGCUCACGUGCACAAGCCAGAUUAAUAUUAUGAGGUCACGAGACAAUUACGCUGAUCUUUUAUGGAAUGAGGGAAAAUUCCCUAUUUGAUUAUUUGUAAUUUAACUUUUGGUUUCGCUUUUAGUCAUUUUCUAUACACGGCUAGCAAGUCAUCUGAGACCAUCCGAAUCAUAGUUUUCUUUCUGAUCAGCUGAAGGGAAGCUCUGAGCUGAGGCUAGCAAGUCAUCUGAGACCAUCUGAAUCAUAGUUUUCUGGCUGAUCAGCUGAGGUGAAGGUCUCAGCUGAGGCUACCGAGUCAUCUGAAUUAUAGUUUUCUGUUUAGCCCAGGUGAAGGCCUGAGUCAUGGCGGAAAGUGAAAUUAAGUCACGUGAAGCAAAGGUGAAUUUUGAUGAAGAUGUUUUAGCAGCGAUAGCAGAAGUCUAUCAGGAAGAAGGAGACAAAGAAUUCACAAGAAAAGAAGUUUGUAACGCAAUAUACUUCUACACAGAAGGAAUUCAUGUGAACUGUAAGGAUUUCCAGCUUAAUGCCAAGCUGUACAGCAGCAGGGCAAGAGCUUAUUACCAUCUCGGGAAUUUCCACGAGGCCCUGAAUGAUGCAACGGCUGCCGUCAAUUUGGAACCAACUUUGAUUAAGGCCAUAGAAACAGGUAAAAUCCUUGACUCAACUGAUUUAUAACAUGAAUUUUACAAUAACUGCAGAACUUAUCGCGCGCUCGUUGGCUAAUUUUCUUUGUCAAGAUGCAAACAGACGCCUGAACUUAUAACUUAUGCGAUGUUGACGCGAGGAGCAAGAGCGGCUGAGCGGAAUUUGACAAUUUAUUAUUGUAAAAGAACAAAUUGACGCCAGUUUUUCAUGCGUCUGUCUUGUCAUUGACAAUAAA